AUGAACGCUGGCGGCGUGUCUAAGGCAUGCAAGUCGAACGAUCGACGUCGCAAGACGUCGGGAGUGGCAAACGGGUGAGUAACACAUUGGUAACCUGCCCCGAAGUUCGGAAUAAUCCGCCGAAAGGUGGACUAAUACCGGAUGUGAUCCCGCGCCGUAGGGUGCGGGAGGAAAGAUUUAUCGCUUCGGGAGGGGCCUAUGGCUUAUCAGCUAGUUGGUAGGGUAACGGCCUACCAAGGCUAUGACGAGUAGCGGGCGUGAGAGCGCGACCCGCCUCACGGGGACUGAGACACUGCCCCGACUCCUACGGGAGGCUGCAGUCGAGAAUCUUCCACAAUGGACGAAAGUCUGAUGGAGCGACGCCGCGUGCCGGAAGAAGCCCUUUGGGGUGUAAACGGCUUUUCUGGGGGACGAAUCAAUGACGGUACCCCAGGAAUAAGGGGCUGCUAACCUCGU
rnacentral:rRNA from 1 species